AGAACGAACGCUGGCGGCAGGCUUAACACAUGCAAGUCGAACGGUUGUAGCAAUACAGCAGUGGCGCACGGGUGAGUAACGCGUGGGAACAUACCUUUCAGUUCGGAAUAACAGCGGGAAACUGCUGCUAAUACCGAAUAUUCUCUCCGGAGGAAAGAUUUAUCGCUGAAAGAUUGGCCCGCGUCAGAUUAGCUAGUUGGUGGGGUAAUGGCCUACCAAGGCUCCGAUCUGUAGCUGGUCUGAGAGGACGACCAGCCACACUGGAACUGAGACACGGUCCAGACUCCUACGGGAGGCAGCAGUGGGGAAUAUUGGACAAUGGGCGAAAGCCUGAUCCAGCCAUGCCGCGUGAAUGAUGAAGGCCUUAGGGUUGUAAAGUUCUUUUGUCAGGGAGAUAAUGACGGUACCUGAAGAAUAAGCACCAGCUAACUCGUGCCAGCAGCCGCGGU
rnacentral:rRNA from 1 species